rnacentral:snRNA from 1 species
CUGAGUCUCUAUGUGUCAUUUCGU